AACGAACGCUGGCGGCAUGCCUAACACAUGCAAGUCGAACGAGACCUUCGGGUCUAGUGGCGCACGGGUGCGUAACGCGUGGGAACCUGCCCUUAGGUUCGGAAUAACUCCCCGAAAGGGGUGCUAAUACCGGAUAAUGUCCUCGGACCAAAGAUUUAUCGCCUUGGGAUGGGCCCGCGUUGGAUUAGCUAGUUGGUAGGGUAAAAGCCUACCAAGGCGGCGAUCCAUAGCUGGUCUGAGAGGAUGGUCAGCCACACUGGGACGGAGACACGGCCCAGACUCCUACGGGAGGCAGCAGUGGGGAAUAUUGGACAAUGGGCGAAAGCCUGAUCCAGCAAUGCCGCGUGAGUGAUGAAGGCCUUAGGGUUGUAAAGCUCUUUUACCCGGGAUGAUAAUGACAGUACCGGGAGAAUAAGCUCCGGCUAACUCCGU
rnacentral:rRNA from 1 species